GGGUACUUAGUGUGUAACGUGAUCGAGUGAAUCGUGGCAAGUACGAGCGCGGAUCUCAAAAUAUUUGCUUAAUAGAUUUGGGUUUAAAAGGCGAGUUAUUAGAGCGAGUGUCGUAAAAUGAUCGGUAAAUACGAUGAUGCUGUUGCCAUCGUGGUCCAAUUAACUGGGAUCCCUGAUGGGAAAUGGAAAUCUUCUGCCUCCCACGAGUCACUUUAAACCAUUGUAUCUUUGGUGCUGGAGUAAAGUGGAUCAAAUAUGUGUCAAUGUCAAGGGAAGUUAUUAAACGGCUUAUCAACACAAGGAAAAUUAUCGUCUCUAGUUCGCGCAAAAAUGAAUGGGGUAAACAGCAAACCAUUACAAGGAGAAUGAAAGAUGCAACCGUCAUAAUCGCAUUUAUUAUUUAAACAAUUCAGAUGUCACAUCGAUAAAGGAUGUAUUCUUGUACAGUAAACACCGUAUCCUUUAAUGAUAUAAAAGUUAAAGGAGUCGCUCCACCUCACCACAUCUCCGAACCGAGCGGUAUAAAUAUGCGACUGAUUCAGUCAUUGGCAGUAGAAAAAUCGCAUAUUUACAACGGGAUUGCGGCAAAUCGUCCUCGGAUUACAUCGUUGAUAACUGAAAACCGAAACUGAUUGUCUAGACUUGCAUUCGCAGUUAUCAACAAUAUAAAAGAAGUAACACGUUUUGAUUCAGCACUUUGUUUAUUUAUAGAAAUUUACAAGUAGCACCACCGUGCCAUAAUACUUUGUCAUAAAAUUAAACAAAUCCCUCGUUA